rnacentral:lncRNA from 1 species
NNNNNNNNNNNNNNNNNNNNNNNNCUGUCCUAAGGAGUUUGAAGCUCACCAGAAGCACAGUUAGGACUCUAAAUUUCAAGAAAGCAAACUUCCAGCUUUUCAAGGAGUUAGUAAAUAGGACCCCAUGGGAAACGGCCCUCAGGGACAAGGGAGCGGAACAAAGCUGGCAGAUCUUUAAGGAUGCUCUCUAUAGAGCACAAAAGAUCUCAAUCCCCACAUGUAGAAAAAUGGGCAAGGAGGGCAAGAGACCACCAUGGUUGAGCCAAGACCUGCUGGUCAAACUAAGGGGCAAGAUGGGGCUACACAGGAAAUGGAAGAAGGGACAGGCAUCCUGGGAAGAGUAUAGGGAUGCUGCCAAGAUGUGUAGGAACGAGGUCAGGAAGGCCAAGGCACAGCUAGAACUGAACUUGGCAAGGGAUGUAAAGAAAAAUAAGAAAGGCUUCUACAGGUACGUUAACCAGAAAAGGAAGGUUAAAGAAAAUGUACCCCCCCUGAUGUGCAACAGUGGGGAACUUGUAUCAACAGAUGAGGAGAAAGCAGAAGUUCUCAAUGACUUCUUUGCCUCAGUCUUCACUGGCAACCCCCUUCCUCCUAGCUCUCGUGUUGAUGGCACAAAAGUUGGAGACCAGGGUGACAAAGUCCCUCCCACUGUAAGUGAAGACAAGGUACGAGAUCAACUCAGGAGCCUGAAGAUAUACAAGUCCAUGGGACCUGAUGAGAUACAUCCCAGAGUCCNGGCCCCACACAAACAUGCAGGCACCCAGGCAACGGGCUGCAGUGAGUGCUGGAGCCUGGCACUUGCACUGGAAGGCUGUGGAGUCAACACCUGUGUGAGGUGUGAGCAGAUCAAUGAUCUGCUUAGUCUAGUGGCUGAACUGAAGGAAGAGGUGGCUGAACUGAAGGAAGAGGUGGAAAGACUAAGGUCUAUAAGGGAAUGUGAAAGAGAGUUGGUUUUGUUGUGUGAGGCUCUGCAGAUCCCCUCAGGAGAGGGAGGUGACCCAAUGAGCAGAGGGGAAUGGACACAGGUGCCCGGUAGG